UAAACCAUUCUCCCUUAUCCUAUCACUAUCUGAUCCCCUUGGUGUGAUUAUCAUGUCCCAUUGCUGCAAUUCUGACUCUUUAGGGGGAACCCCCAUCUCUAGAGACUUUGAGAAGGCUCAUCCAAGAGGAGUUAUCCAAGCAGCUAGAUGCAAAGUUAACCUAUCUCCUGGCUCAGAUACAGCCUGCACAGGUAAAAGCAUCCCAUGGCAGACCAGGACCUCCUGGUCCCCCUGGGAAGGAAGGACUCCCAGGAAGAACUGGCCCUCCCGGAGAGCCUGGCCGGCCUGGACAGACUGGGUCUGAAGGGCCACCUGGACCAAUUGGUCCCAAAGGAGAAAGAGGAGCAAAGGGGGAUAAAGGAGACACUGGCAUUGGCCAACGAGGGGAAAUAGGUCCUCCAGGAAUUCCAGGUGUGUUAUUCAGAGCACCCCUCAACACACAUCACUCAGAACCAUUUCAAGGACGUGGGUCUCUGCCAUAUUAGAUAGACA
rnacentral:lncRNA from 1 species